UAACCCUCAAGCCUAGCUUGGUGUUGGAGCCUGCCCCUGGGCAGCUCUUAAAAUCAGUGGCGGUGCCGCCUGGCUCUAAGCGUAGUAAUUCUUCUCGCUCCAGGGUCCGGGCGGUUGCUUGCCAACAACCCCAAAUUUUCUAU
rnacentral:misc_RNA from 1 species